CUGCCCCUGGCUUUAGAUAAGAAUUGGAACUUGAUUACCGCAGCAGCUCAUUUACUCCGUUUCCUUGGCUGAGCGAGGCAUUUGAGUUUGAUUAACAAGAUUUUCUACUUGACGUUCAACUCUCAUUUUCCGAAGCGCUGAGGACGGGACUUCCGUCCCUCUCCAUCACCUCUGCCAACUUACGCCUCCGCCUCCGGGCCUCGGAGCCGCCUUGGCAAUGGCCAGUCCUGCGAUUGGUUCCCAGCGGUGAAGGAGCUACUGACUCCGACCUUGUCUGAAGGUUACUUCUCAAGUUCGUGCAUUUUCUCAGCGAUGUGCAUUCAAAUUAGGUGCUGGUGAUACAAGAGUGAAGCUGGCAGUAGAAGAUUCCUCCCGUCUCAGUCCUCACCUUCAGAGGGAGGAAGAGAGACAACAAACAAGUGAACAAAAGUAAGCAAGAUCAUUUCAGAGAGCGCUCAGUCCUGCCAAGACUCACACAGUGGUACUGGUUACAGAGUAACUGGGGCAGGGAAGAAUGUGCAUGUCCCUACCCGGUCAGGAAAUUGGAAACCACUCCAGGGUACUGAAGCAAGGAAACUUUGAUACAGAGCAUUUAUUCUACAUUUAUUGGAAGGACUGGAGGAGCAAAGGGAAGAUUCUGUCCAUGGGAGGCAAGGAAGAGAUAGGAAGGGAGGGACAGAGAGAAGAAAUGCCUUCUCCUGCGUUUGCUGGAGACAUAGGCGGUGGCUGCAGCUUUGUAGACAGCAGUCCUCAGAUCCUGCUCAGGCAUAACGUGCAAAAAACCGCAGAGGCUGUUUACCUUGGCUUCUUCAUCGGAUGGGUGAUAGCAGCUUCUUGUUCUUAAUCUCUAGGUGCCUCCACCCAGAGGUGCCAGACUGGCUUGAAAUUCUGUAGACAGCAGGUUCCUCUUCACUUUUCCACACAGCCAGACGACAAUUCUAGCCUCCUCCAACAUAUUCCAUAGGAGAAGGGAAAUUUUUUGUUUCUAAAAAAUAAGACCAAAGAGACUCUAGAAUAAGAGACACUAGGCCAUGUGAGGGGUUAUCAUGUUCUCUAAAAACCUGAGCAUUUGAUACUGACGUCUGAGGGGUCCCCAGUGAGAAGACCAGCCCCGACAAUUUCUUUACACUAUACACAUCUGUUAAAUAGGAAGAAGGGAUGUAAGGAAGUGGAGACAUCGAGGACAGACAAAUACUGAAUUAUUUUUCCACGGAGAGGAGCACAGAAUAAGCCAGUAGCUGGAGCAAGACAUUAGGUGAAGGGGUUUCAAGUAUGAAGGGUCUGUAGUAUGGUUGGAAUAAGGCAGCAGGGAGGGCGAGAUUGAUGAUGCAGGAAUGAGUGGAAACUUCCAGGAGCCCGCUUCUUGGGGACACGAGAAAGGCUGGGGGAGGGGGGUGGAAUACACAGAAUAGCUGGAAGGCGCAAUGUGAAAACAAGGAUUCAAGGGUGGUGGAAAAUCAGAGCCAGAAGUGAAGAUGACUAAGCACCCGGGAAUUAGCAAACCCCUCGAGAAAGACAUGGGACAUUUAAUAAGGUGUGGAAUGAUGGCUUGAGCAAAUCUUCACUAGGUCUUAAGGCACAGAGUGAUCUGUUUCACAUCAUUUCUCGAAUAGAGGGUUUAUUCAUUUCUCAAACAGAGGUGGAAUAUUUUAAAGCUAUUUCUGACGAAACGUUUGUCUAACCAGUGUUUUCACCUUAGCCUUCCCUUUUGCAGUUUUGUCUUUUACUCUUUUAUAUGCAUACCUUGUGUUCUUGCCAAAUUGGCCCAUAGGAGGCCCUCAACAAGUAUUUAUUGAAUUAAUAACAAAAUUGGACUUACUCUCCCUGUCCCUGCUGGAGCUCCCAGUUCCUGCAGUCCAUGUUUUCCUAGAUCUGCACUUUCGUUUAUGCAUCUUUGUACUGUUCUUUCCUCCCCCAAUACCCUCUUUCCCCUCUCCCUUUUCUGCUUCUUGAAAUCUUAUUCCUGUUUCCUGAUCCAACUAACAUGCAACUUUGCCAAGUCCUCUUUGACUUUCUCGCUCAACUAUGAUAUCCCUGCCCCCUUUCCUCCUGUGGAAUUUUCUUUAUCUGGCUGAUGUCUCUUAACAUUCUGUGUCCAGGGUGAUGGUUAUUUGUGGAAUUAUGUUCCCCACUAGACUGUGAGCACAUUGAGGACAGUAACCAUAUUUUAUUCACCUUGUUCACAUUGAGCCGCCCGGCACAGCCUCUGGUGAAUAGGGAGUAUUCAACAAAUCAUAAUUACAUUUUAAUUUGACUUCCCUCCCCAAGUGUUAGGACUCAUUAGUACACGGACACAAACCAACUGGUGCCCUGUUGCACUGGUGCUGCCUCUUUUAGCUGUAGAACAACCUCCUAAUCAGCCCAGACUACAAACAGACGGCUUCUUCUUUUCAUCACUUCACUUUCAUGUUUAAAGACUUUUUUUCAAAUGCAACCGCCUUCCUCAUAGCCUCUGCAGAAAAACACAGAAUGGCAAGUGCCCAUGGACACAGGCACGUUCAUUUGCACACCCGCACGUGUACACUUUCUCUUUACCUCCUACCAACUGAAUCCUGAUAAAUAUUGUGAAUCAGUUUUUUGAAAGCCAGAUUCAUUGUGAUAUAAUUUGCAUACAGUAGAACACAUCAUUUAGGUGACUAUUUCUAUGCAUUUGGAUAAACACAUUGUACGAGUUAGGUUCUUAAGAGAAAUAGAAUCAGUAGGAAAUCACAUCGAGAGAGAGAGAUGGAUAGAGAAACUUAUUUCAAGACAUUGGCUCACACGAUUGUGGGGGCUGACAAGUCCAAAGUCCACAGAAGAAGGCCAGCAGCCUGGAAAUCUUGGCAGAAAUCAAUGCUGCAGUCUUGAGGCAGAAUUUCUUCUUCCUCAGGAAAAUCCCUGUUCUGCUCCUAAGGCAUUUCAACUGAUUGGAUGAGGCCCACCCACACUAUCAGGGAUAAUCUCCUCUACUUGAAGUCAAAUGGUUGUAGGUGUUAACCAUAUCUACAAAAUACCUUCACAAUAACACCUAAAUUAGUGUUUGACCCAAUGUCUGGAUACUAUAGCCUAGCCAAGCCCACACAUAAAAAGUACCAUAGGAGGCAUACAGCUCUAUAAUCACAACCUUAAUGAAGAUACGGAAUAGUUCAAUUAUCCCAGAGAAUUCCUUCAUGCCUCUUUGUGGUCAAUACCACCAUCACCCCCUGACCAUGCCCCCAGCCCUGUCAAAGCCCUGAUCUGCUUUCUGUCCCUGAACUUUUGUCUUCUCCGGAAUAUCACGUAAAUGCAAUCACUCAAUAUGUGACCUUUUGAAAUUUGCUUUUUCUGCUUAAUAUGAUGUAUAUGAGAUUCAUCCACGUUAGUGCAUGUAUCAGUAGAUUGUUUCUUUUUAUUGCUGAGUAUAUUGUCUUGUAUGGAAGUACCAUGAUUCUAAAUAAGUUUUGUGGAUGGGAGAGGUACGCCUCCUACAUUGUUCUAAAUCACACAUUAUCAAAGUUUGAAAUUUUAUAGGCAUGCAAAUCAAAUUAAAAAGACUAGAAAGCCCUCCUAGACAUAACUCAAUGAGAAGUCAGUUAUGAAGUACACUCCCCCAAUGCCUGCACAGGUAUUUGGCCUUGAAAAAAAAUAAAUGAUUUCAUCGGCCACGUAGAGUCAAAGCCAAGGUGUAUUUUAAAAGCAUCAGUUAUCAUAAUCUUUUUAUUGGCCAUAUGGCACAACGAACUAUUUUAGGCUAGACUCCGUUAACUCUGAUUUUCAUAAUGGCUAAUGGCUAAGCCACAAAAUCAGAUCGGGGAAAGGUUGGACUCCCGAAGUAGUCAUGAAGAAUGCUAAAAAGUAUAACACUGAUGGUCAGACAUGACAGAUGGUCAGAAAUGACAGACUUGUGUGUUUUGGAGUAGGUGUCAAUCACUCUGCAUAAAAAGGAAGUGUGACUUCUAUCCACUUGAUCUGACAUAGCAAAACUCCCUAGGACCCAUGCUCAAGAAGUCAAGUUGAAAGUCUAUGAUCUGGUCUGGUCCAGUUGGGCCAGCCCAUCUGGAUUUAAUGGACCUCAGUCUGCUAUGACUAAAAUCUCUCCCUCCUCAUCUAUGAUAUUCAUGACAUAGGAUGAAGGCUUUAAAAAAAAAUUUUUUUUUAAAAAAAUAGAUGGUAGGAUCUGGAACAAGAUUUGAAUGCCUUAUAAGCUCAAUACCAAAGUUGACCUAUUUUCCAUCGUCUAUUGUGGAAACAGGUAAACAAGUACAAGCAAGUAAUUGGACAAAGAACUAAAAAAUUAUUAAUUGUGAUAAGUCCAAAGAAGGAAGUAAAUAAGGAGCUGAGGUUCAGAGCAUUCUAGAUGGGUGAAAAGGAAGUCUUCUCUAAGAGUUUUGAGAAAAUACGGCAGGGGGAUGAGUUUGGGGAAAGAAGUUACUGACGGAAGGAGCAGCAUGUGUAGAGGCCCUAACAGAGAUUCAGGGUAACUGGAACAGGGUAAGCAAGCAGGUGAGGGACACAGGACAGGGUCAGAUGAAAUGUCAGAUCAACUGCAGCUUGUGGGCAUAAGAAGUUUGGGUUUCCUUUAGUGAAAGGGGAAGCUUUUGGAGGGUUCCGAGAACAUGGGGGUCAGAUGAUCCGAUUCAUGUUUUAAAAGGAUUAUUUUUGCUGCUAUGGGACAGCAGUUUUGCAGUGAGACAGGAUUGGGAGAAAGGAGAACAGCAGGAUACAGCUUGAAAAAGUCUAGGUGAGAGAAGAUAGUGAGAAUGGAGAUAAGAUGAGAGGCAGAUAAGAAGAUAGUUGCACUUUUGGAGACGCAAGCAGGCCCUGUUAAUGGAUUGUGACUAAGGAGUAGAGGUGAAGGGAGAAAACAGGCUGAUUUGCAGAUUUCUGCCUUGAAUGAUAUGGUAAGGGUUUUUGACAUUUAAUUAAACAGGAAAGACUGGUUCAAUAUUGGUGCCUGGAGCUCAACAAAGCUGAACUACUAUUUGGGGAUUUCAAUAUCACUAAUAUUUAAAGGUAUGGGAAUUGCUGAGAUUACCUGGGAAGAAAGUGUGAGAGAAGAAGAGCCCCAGACAGAACGUGGAGGAAAGACAACAUUUCAUUCAAGUGAAGAAGAAAGAGGAGACCAAGAAUACUGGGGACAGUGAGAUAAAGAAACCCCAGGAAAUGUGCUGGAAAGGAAGUGGAGAGAGUAGUGCUUUAAGAAUAGGGGAGUCAUCUGUGGGAUGGAGCUCUGUUGAGGGAAUAAAAGAAAUAAGGGGAAGAAACUGGGCACUAAUUUUGGGAAUAGGAAAGCAACUGUUGACCUUGACAAGUUUUGAUGGAAGGGUCACGGGUGGGACUUCAGAAACUGGGAAGCAGGGAAGCGGAAAUAUUGUGCAUAUGGACAACUUUGUUGGAAGUUUUGCUGUGGGGUCAAGCAAUGGCAUGUCCUCUGAGGGCAGAGGGAGCUGGGAGGGAGAAUAUGGGGUUUAACAAGAUGGGAGAUAUUAAUUAUAAUUACAAUUAUAUGUGAAAAGAAUGAUUCCUAGUAGGUGGCACCGGUGGUGCAGGAGAGUGAAAAGACGAUGCCCGAAGGAGGCAGAGGGCAUGAACUUGGGGAAUGCACCUGCGGCAGGAAGGGAAACAUUUCCUCCACUGGGGCCGAAGGAAAGGAGAAGAUGGAUGCCCGUGCUUCUGAUGUGGCACCUGGUAGGAUGAAUUAAGGACCAUGGCCGGCACCUGGUAGGAUGAAUUAAGGACCAUGGCUGUUAUCUGAGAGAGGAGGGGAGAAGGGAACCUGGAACACCUCAGCAAAGAGGACAAGGGAUCUAGCAUUUUGAAGACACACAAUUUAGCAGACAUUCAAAUUCGCUGAACAGAUGAAUUCAGAGGGGAGGUGGAGAUCUCAGAUGGAAGAGAUGUUCGAGGAAGAAACUGCAUGGAGGCCUGAAACGCAUGGUCCCCUCUACACACCUGAAGAGGAAGCCGUACAAGAGAUCCAAGAGUCAUGCUGGGACUGUGUAGAGAUUUUGGUAUUUCAGAAGUGCGGAUAAUGGAAUGCGGAUGUGAAUAUCUCUAAAGAAAGAAAGACUCAAUCAUAGAAGGGAGAAGUGAGCCAUGGAAGCGUAGAAAAGGGAGAAGCGUGGAGAACAUGUGAGCAGUGACCAGUCAAGCACUACCCAGCAAGAGGCAGGAUUUACUAUAUUCUGAUUCCAUUGUCAAGGCCAGCGUUGUAAAAAGAAAGAAGUGCUGAGCUCUCUCAACUGAGAUCACUAAACAGUUGGCUCAUUUGAACAGUAUUUUUCUACUCUUGUACUCCCCAAGCCACUGGACAAUUAUCAAUCUUGGCAUAUAUAAAAGAUCUGCAGAAGAGAAUAAUCUUUUCACAACUUUGGGUUCCUACUUCUGUAAUAGGGCAAAGAGGCAAGGGCAGAGAGCAGUCUACAUAACUUGGAAGGAUAGUGUCGUGUGGAGAGGGCAGACUUGAGAGACACUGUGCCCUUGGGUCAACGGAACAGACAUCUCCAGAUGACCCCAGAGAGAGGAAGCAGAGGUAAUAAAUACCUUGACUUCUUUCUUUUCUCUCCUUCCAUCUCUUGGUGGGCCACUAGACUAGCAGAACCCAAUCAGAUGCCAUGAAGCAAGGGAGCACAUUGAUGUGGUCCAUACAAGUCAGCCUGCCAGAGCAGAGAGUGCGUCUGGAUGGGUAAAUAGCAAAUAUUGUCACAUUAUGCUCUAGUAGCUGGCAAAUUUCCCAUCAAGGACUUUCACAUUCUGGGGAAUCUUUAUUUAAAAGGUUCACUUGAAGGGCACCUGGGUGGCUCAGUGGGUUGAGUGUCCAACUCUUGAUUUCGGCUCAGGUCAUGAUCUCAGGGUUCCUGCUCAGUUUGAGCCCUGCAUCUGGCUCCAUACUGACAGUGUGGGGCCUGCUUGGGAUUCUUUCUUUCUCCCUCUCUCUCUGGACCUCCCCCAUGCUCGCUCACACACACACACACACACACACACACACACACACACACACUCUCUCUCUCUCUCUCUCUCUCUUUCUCUCUCUCUAAAUAAAUAAGCAAAAAAGGUUCAUUUGAAUUAUUAUUUGUUUUUUAAGGCUGAUUGAUCUUAACAACUACAUUACAGAUUUUUAGUCAGUGAGGAAAGGCUCACCUUUGUCUUUGAAUACCCUGCAUAACUUUGCCUGUGCCGAACAAGGACUCUUAAAAAUCACCGCCAUAGUAUUUGAGAGCUGGAAAGAUCCUUAGAUAUUAUUUAGUAAACACUCAUUUUAGGGAUGAGAAAAUUGCUGAGAUGUUAACUGGAUUGCUUAAGAUCACACAAUGCUAAGCCCACAUGUCCCAACACUAUCUAUAAUUUACUAAUUCCUGAAUAGUAAUGAUAAUGACGAUAACAAAUUGCAAGUGCACAACAUUUUCAAGUUUACAAAGAGCUUCCACCCACAUCAUCUUAUUUGAAUCUCACAAUAAUCCUGAGAUACUGGGAAGGUAGAUGUUAUUAUUUCCAAUUUACGAGUAAGAAAGUGACCUACAUAGAUAUUAGCUAUUUUCAGCAGAGCAAAAAGUGAUAUAAUAGGCAUCAAAAACAAUCCAGACACUUGAGGCUUUUGGGAUUCACCUGUUCAGUCUCAUCAGAUAGAUUCAUCUCUUCUAAUUGACUAAGACAGGCUACGAAAUGAGGGGCUGCUCAUUGAGAAACCAAGGUUGGACCUUCCUAUAUGAAGAUGGUGAGUGCAGACUGAGUAGAUCUCAGGGAACAUUCUAAGAAGAGAAAGGCAGUAAAGCAGCCCCACUAAGGGCCUUCCUUGUCUACCACUGAAGGAGCCGUUCCUGGGCUUCCUGGUCACAUCCCUAUAGCAUUCUCCAAGAAACGGAGCUUCUAUCUUUCAGGAGAAUCUAAACAAUGAGCAUUCACAUAGGAAAAACCCAGGGGACAAGAGGAGGGUCUUCGGUAGACUUGGGUAGACUGGGUGGAAUGUGAAGCCUAUACUACUUUGCUAGUUAUUAUUGCUAUGUAACAAUUCCCCAAACUUAGUAGGCUUUAAGACAACAACCCUUCAUAUUACAGCUCACAAUUUCAUGGGUCAAGAAUUCAGUCAAAAUUCUGCUGGGCUAUUCUUUUGUUUCACAUGGUCAUGACAGGGCUGCUCCAGUGAUAUUCAGCUGGUCUGGUCGGGAAGGGUCAAGAGACUUCAGUCACACAGCAAUGGUUUUGGUGAGGGUGUCUUGAAAGCUUAGCUCACCUCUGCCUCUCUGUAGCUUUGGGGCCCUCUAGGAGAUUUCUCCAGUAGGGUAGUUGAGUUUUAUACAUGCCCACUCACCUUCUGAAGAUUUAGAAAGCAGUUUUAGCCUUUUCUUCAAGGCUAGCUCCAGAACUGACAUAACAUUAGUUUGGCUGUCCAGUUUUGGUCAGUGAAGUCAAGGAGCGGUUCAACAGAUCUCAUCACUUGGUGGGAAAAGAGACAAAGGUUUAUUGCCAUCUUUAAUCUAGCAUAAUUCUCACACAAACUUCUCUCAUUUCCCCACUGUUUUUCAUGCUUACUCCCCAUUACAUCGUUUUUACAAUUAUAAUCUGAAGGAAAUAUUAAGGACAUGGGCUGGAGGUAGUUUUCAACCUGGGGAACAUAUAUUUGAUGAUGCAAAUUGCAACAUCACUUGGGGAGACAGGUUGGGAUCAUUGAUCUCUGUAGUGUGACUGGCAUGUGUCUUGCUUCACCAACCUGGGUUUAAAUGACAGAAUGUAUUCAUAACAUUAAAUAAGGUGUUCUUGAUUCUCCUAACCACCUACUUGUCUUGCAAUUGUUUACAGAUUUCUCCCUCCCAGAUAUAUUUUUUUAAUUUUUUAAGGUUUUAUUUAUUUUUGAGACAGAGAGAGACAGAGCAUGAGCAGGGGAGGGGCAGAGAGAGAAAGGGAGACACAGAAUCCGAAGCAGGCUCCAGGCCCUGAGCCGUUAGCACAGAGCCUGAUGCGGGGCUCGAACUCACGGACUGUGAGAUCAUGACCUGAGCUGAAGUUGGAUGUUUACCCAACUGAGUCACCCAGGCGCCCCCCUCCCAGAUAUUUUAAGAGUCCCCAGGCCUGAUUCCCUAUGUUUGACGCUCACAUAUCUGUGCCAGGAGCUGGGGUUUGUCCCUCUGAACAGGAUUCUGCAGGAGAGGCUACUGCUGCUCUGUCUCUGGUCUCAGUUCUUAUUCACCUCCAUUCGCCACCUGCCAUGGCAUCUUGGGACACAUUAUUAAGGAAAUUCAUUGCUAUCAUUUCAAUUCCCAUGGUGCUGUGAGAGAAUGAUCCUCCCUCUCCAAGUGCAAAGGACAAAGGUUCCUCAUUUUUUAUUCUCAUACAAGUUGGGUCCCACUGAGAAGUUGCCCAAGUGCCCAGUAUUGUCAUACAUUUUAUUCACCUACACAGAGCCAGGUACCGCAGAGUCACUCAGGUAGCCAGGGAAGCUGGCAUUGGAUAAGUUCCAGUACCUGCCUGGCCGCAUGUCAUAUCUAGAUCCCCAAUCCAGCCCUUUGCUCAGACAAUUGUGCUACCUAUGGGACAAAGUAUAAAUCUCCCUUUUUCUUACGGUAUCUUCUCUCCCAGGGUUGCCAUGGGCCAGCUCCCCUCCUGGAUUCUGCUAGAACUGGCCAUCCCCACUUUCCUAUUCCCCUCCCUGUAAUUUACCAUGUAGGUCUCUAUGCGUUCAUAGGGUUCCUGACCUUUUUUUCUUUAGUUCUCCCUGGGGACUUCUCUCAGGACCUUAAUAAAUGUAAACAGAUACAUGAUAUGUGUAUGUAUGUUUGGGGGUGAGAUGUAGGGUCUAAACCUUUUUAACAGAAGCAUCUUUGCUCCAGUGCCUGUCACCCAAGAACUCUGGAUUCUUGGGUUCUAGUCAAACCAUAUAUUUCCCUAUUUUCUCUGCUUUCCCCUUGCCUACAAACGUAAUUUGGGAGAAAAACAAAUUCCAAAAAUAUCCCAGGUAUAGAGAUGUGCUCUUUCCUCUUUAUCCCUCAAGGGACUAAACCAAAUUGGCUGUCCCCCUGAGUCAAUUCUGAUUGGUUGGUUAUGAACACAGAUGGGCCCCUUUUGCUGCUUCUGCCCAGCCUGGGGUGGAGGAAGUGGUCAGGGGAGGGAUUAUAGUAUUAUGAGCUACCACCACAUCUAAGCAUAAUCACAGCACCUUGGGGUCCAGAGAAUGUGCCAAGAACAUGAAUUAGCAGGUGAGCUUGGCCCCUGUUACUUCUCUCCCACACGUGGAGAGAGCAUGAGAAGGGGCCCUAGCACACUGUAAACAGGCUUCUAAUGCCAGUAGCCUGAUAAAUUUUAUAAAUAAAACCAGAGAAUUCUGAUUAUGCAUGAAUCAUCUGUAUCUGAUUUGUUUCAUCAAUAUGUCAGUCCAUGAGUUAGCUUUCCACGUUUUCGAGCUUUCAUAGCACUGUAAAUGCACUCAGUAUCAGAAACUCUGGCAUUCAGCACCCCACGUCCCUUUUGCCUUGUGUUUAUUUUGGUAUCUUGCCCCAGCAACAUCCUCUCUCACCUACGGGUCACUCAGCCUUGUGCAAACAUCCCAUCUUGGAAGCAAACUAGAUUCUGCAGAACUCCCCGGCCAGAAAGGAAGGAAAGAAGGGGAAGCUGGUGGUAGUUUGAAAAGAAAUACAAAGGUCUUUAAAACAACCUUGCCAUAGCCCUCCUCGAAACCCCCUACUGUCCACUUGCUGAAUAUUCAUUCCCUAGUAGGUUCCAAUGAAACUUAUCAAUGUUGUUUUUACUUUUUUAGAAACAAAACAAAUUAUGUUCUUGUUAUCAAUACAUGUUUGCAACAGGAAUUGUGGGAUUUCCAGAUAAGCAAAUGGAAAAUGAAGAAAAUAUCAAUAUAUAAAUUUUAUUAACAUUUUGGUAAAUGUUCUUCCAUGUUUUUUCUAUGGAAAUAACUAUGAGUACAUAUGGUCCAAACCAUAUAUGUUUUGUAAUGAGCCUUUUCAUUUGAUAGACUGCCUGAGUAUCUUGUGUUUAUAUAAAUAAUCUUUAAGAUCAUCAUUUAAAAUUGAUGUAUAGUAUUUCAUUUUAUGAAAUAAAUACACCAUUUAUAAUCACCAUAGAUUAUUUCACUACUUACGUACUGAUAAAAACUUAGGUUGUUUUUAUUUUUAUGCUCUUAAAAAAUCCUAUGUGGAAAAUGUUUAUAAAUACAUCUAAAAAUACAUGCACCCAUUUUUUCUUAAAAUUAACCCCAGUUUCUUAAAACUCCUACCUGUGCUACUAUUGAGUCCUAGAGUUUGCACAUUUUUAGGAAUUUUGAUAUGUAGUCUGAGUUCCCCUUAAAAGCAGGUUCUGUUUUUUUCUUAGGUAAUAAUAGUAUAUACAAUGCUCACAUGGGCUUAAGGAACUUCAUAGCAGUUAUCAAACAGGUUCUCUUGCACAAAUACCUCUUUAACAAUGCUUGAAGAGACUCUUUAACUUUAGGAAUUUAUAAUAGAACAAAAAGAUUAAUUGCCAGAGUGGGACUCAUAUGAAGUUUACUAUAGCAAUUAAGCAGAGUCAUGCAAAUUAAGAGAGAUGUAUUUUUAAAUAUUUAUUAUAUUUAUUUUAAUCUUAUAAUGAUAAUAUAUGAUUACUGUAGAAGAUUAUUUUAUGUAUACAGGAAAUUAUAUUAAAUUUACUCAUAAGCCCAUCAUGCCUAGAAGACCGCUGUUCAGAUAGGAUACAUGAACUACACAUCUUUUAUAUUUAGCCUUCUAGUUUGCUCUUUUUCAUUCAAUGCUUUAGCAGUAGCAUUUUGUCACAUCAUCAACUCCAUUUGAAAACAUGCCAUUGAUUGCCGGAAAUCAUAUAAAAAUGACUCUAUGGAAAAUAUCAUAAUUAAAAAAAUCUUUCUCUUACUCUUGGACAUCAGGAAUGUCUAGAAAUUUAUCAUAAAUAUCGCUGGGAUGAACAUCUUCGUACGCUGGUCUUUUUUCAGGUCUAUGAUUAUAGCUUUCACCUUGGGUGAAAUUAUAGGAUCAAAGGCAUGCUGUUUUAAAAAUC